rfam:Deltaproteobacteria bacterium CG2_30_63_29 cg2_3.0_scaffold_1175_c, whole genome shotgun sequence.
UGCCGACAGGCAGCCCAGCGCGCCCGAAAGUCGGGGUGUUGGAGGGAAGCCGGUGUAAAUCCGGCGCGGUCCCGCCACUGUGAGUGAGCGAUGAGCUCGACCAAAGCCACUCGGCAUCUGCCGGGGAAGGGGUCGAGAUCGAAGGGCGUUUGGCCCGAGAGCCACGAGUCAGGAGACCUGCCUCAGCCGCCCGUGCACC